GGCGCACGGGUGAGUAACGCGUACGUAACCUACCUUCAAGAGAGAGAUAGCCCCGGGAAACUGGGAUUAAUACCUCAUGGUAUCAUAAAGCCGCAUGGUUUAAUGAUUAAAGCUCCGGCGCUUGAAGAUGGGCGUGCGUUCUAUUAGAUAGUUGGUGAGGUAACGGCUCACCAAGUCAGCGAUAGAUAGGGGGCGUGAGAGCGUGGUCCCCCACACGGGUACUGAGACACGGACCCGACUCCUACGGGAGGCAGCAGUAAGGAAUAUUGGACAAUGGGCGCAAGCCUGAUCCAGCCAUUCCGCGUGCAGGAUGACGGCCCUCUGGGUUGUAAACUGCUUUUAUUUGGGAAGAAACCCUGGGAUUUAUCCCGGGCUAACGGUACCAAAAGAAUAAGCACCGGCUAAUUCCGUGCCAGCAGCCGCGGUAAUACGGAAGGUGCAAGCGUUAUCCGGAAUCACUGGGUUUAAAGGGUGCGUAGGCGGUUACGUCAGUCAGAAGUGAAAGCUCACAGCUUAACUGUGGAAUUGCUUUUGAUACUGCGUAACUAGAAUCAGGUUGAGGUUGGCGGAAUGUGACAUGUAGCGGUGAAAUGCAUAGAUAUGUCAUAGAACACCAAUUGCGAAGGCAGCUGACUAGACCUGCAUUGACGCUGAGGCACGAAAGCGUGGGGAGCGAACAGGAUUAGAUACCCUGGUAGUCCACGCCCU
rnacentral:rRNA from 1 species